rnacentral:rRNA from 1 species
AUUGAACGCUGGCGGCAGGCCUAACACAUGCAAGUCGAGCGGAAACGACACUAACAAUCCUUCGGGUGCGUUAAUGGGCGUCGAGCGGCGGACGGGUGAGUAAUGCCUAGGAAAUUGCCUUGAUGUGGGGGAUAACCAUUGGAAACGAUGGCUAAUACCGCAUAAUGCCUACGGGCCAAAGAGGGGGAUCUUCGGACCUCUCGCGUCAAGAUAUGCCUAGGUGGGAUUAGCUAGUUGGUGAGGUAAUGGCUCACCAAGGCGACGAUCCCUAGCUGGUCUGAGAGGAUGAUCAGCCACACUGGAACUGAGACACGGUCCAGACUCCUACGGGAGGCAGCAGUGGGGAAUAUUGCACAAUGGGCGAAAGCCUGAUGCAGCCAUGCCGCGUGUAUGAAGAAGGCCUUCGGGUUGUAAAGUACUUUCAGUUGUGAGGAAGCGGGUGUAGUUAAUAGCUGCAUCUCUUGACGUUAGCAACAGAAGAAGCACCGGCUAACUCCGUGCCAGCAGCCGCGGUAAUACGGAGGGUGCGAGCGUUAAUCGGAAUUACUGGGCGUAAAGCGCAUGCAGGUGGUUCAUUAAGUCAGAUGUGAAAGCCCGGGGCUCAACCUCGGAACUGCAUUUGAAACUGGUGAACUAGAGUGCUGUAGAGGGGGGUAGAAUUUCA